AACGCACAUUGCGCCCGCCAGUAUUCUGGCGGGCAUGCCUGUCCGAGCGUCAUUUCAACCAUCAAGCCCCGGGCUUGUGUUGGGGCCCUGCGGCUGCCGCAGGCCCUGAAAACCAGUGGCGGGCUCGCUAGUCACUCCGAGCGUAGUAGUUUACACCUCGCUCAGGGCGUGCUGCGGGUUCCGGCCGUUAAAAGCCUUAUUUUACCCAAGGUUGACCUCGGAUCAGGUAGGAAGACCCGCUGAACUUAA
rnacentral:misc_RNA from 5 species